GGUAGAGUGACCGAGUGGUUAAAGGUGUCAGACUUAAGUUCUGGUGCAGUAAUGCUUCGUGGGUUCGAAUCCCACCUCUAUCA